AGCAAACAUGGACUAUAAACUACAUCCGUAAAAUUAAAAUGAGAGAGUACUAAGGAGUCACAAAGCAUUUUUUUCAAAGAUCGCGUGAUUGUUACUUUUCGACAGCACCUCAUAGGUUUUCCAGGCAUGCUUUAUGUAAAAUUCAUUCACCCAGGAAAAAUAUGACUAACUUACUAAUAAAAAAAACAAAAACCUGUCAUAUCUACCUGCGUAAGUAAACGAACCCAUUCGGCUUCUCUCGUUGGGCGGAAUCCAUUUAGCGAGCAAUGCGUGGCUGCACGGUACGAUCGGACCCUGUCCCAAAUAAAGGACGUGUUUUCUUGUUUUUUUUUUGUUUGUUUUAAUAGAAAAACAAAGAAAAUAGUACUUACCUCGCCUAACCCUUGGAUGAAUCGCACGACCAGCAGCCACCAGAGUCCCAUUUUGGCAGCGAUCGGUACCAACAGGCCGAACACCGAGUUGAUCAGCAUCCCGAUGCCCAGGAAGUAAAUGUUCCCGUAAGUUUUCCCUAAAAUCCCGGCGGGGAUUUGGGUGAUCACGUAACCGUAGAAAAAGGCCGACAGUACGUAGGAUUGCACGUCGGUUUUCCAAAUGUAUUCUCCAUCUGCUUCUAACUGGAAAUAAAAAUUAAAUUUUCUUUA